UACGGAGGGUGCGAGCGUUGUCCGGAAUCAUUGGGCGUAAAGGGCGCGUAGGCGGCUUACCAAGUCAGGCGUGAAUUUCCCGGGCUCAACCUGGGGGCUGCGCUUGAUACUGGUGAGCUUGAAUGCGGGAGAGGAUAGUGGAAUUCCCAGUGUAGAGGUGAAAUUCGUAGAUAUUGGGAAGAACACCGGUGGCGAAGGCGGCUAUCUGGCCCGUAAUUGACGCUGAGGCGCGAAAGCGUGGGGAGCAAACAGG
rnacentral:rRNA from 1 species